GCUGGGCAUGGUGGCUCAUGCCUGUAAUCCCAGCACUUUGGGAGGCCGAGGUGGGUGGAUCACCUGAGGUCAGGAGUUCAAGACCAGCCUGGCCAACAUGGUGAAACCCCGUCUCUA
rfam:Homo sapiens chromosome X, GRCh38 reference primary assembly.